UAUUGGACAAUGGGCGAAAGCCUGAUCCAGCAAUGCCGCGUGAGUGAUGAAGGCCUUAGGGUUGUAAAGCUCUUUUACCCGGGAUGAUAAUGACAGUACCGGGAGAAUAAGCUCCGGCUAACUCCGUGCCAGCAGCCGCGGUAAUACGGAGGGAGCUAGCGUUGUUCGGAAUUACUGGGCGUAAAGCGCACGUAGGCGGCUUUGUAAGUUAGAGGUGAAAGCCUGGAGCUCAACUCCAGAAUUGCCUUUGAUACUGCAUCGCUUGAAUCCAGGAGAGGUGAGUGGAAUUCCGAGUGUAGAGGUGAAAUUCGUAGAUAUUCGGAAGAACACCAGUGGCGAAGGCGGCUCACUGGACUGGUAUUGACGCUGAGGUGCGAAG
rnacentral:rRNA from 1 species